CCUGCACCCUGUCAGGAACAUGAAGCACAAGUCCAAUGUCCUCUGUGAAGAAGAUUUCAGCUCCGGUGUCCAUCUGUAGGGUAGAGGUUUAUGGGCUCUAUCUCCACUAUUAGAGGUUUAUGGGCUCUAUCUCCACAAUUAGAGGUUUAUGGGCUCUAACUCCAGUAUUAGAGGUUUGUGGGCUCUAGCUCCACUAUUACAGGUUUAUGGGCUCUAGCUCCACUAUUACAGGUUUAUGGGCUCUAGCUCCACUAUUAGAGGUUUAUGGGCUCUAGCUCCACUAUUAGAGGUUUAUGGGCUCUCGCUCCAGUAUUAGAGGUUUGUGGGCUCUAACUCCAGUAUUAGAGGUUUGUGGGCUCUAACUCCAGUAUUAGAGGUUUGUGGGCUCUAACUCCAGUAUUAGAGGUUUGUGGGCUCUAACUCCAGUAUUAGAGGUUUGUGGGCUCUAACUCCAGUAUUAGAGGUUUGUGGGCUCUAACUCCAGUAUUAGAGGUUUGUGGGCUCUAACUCCAGUAUUAGAGGUUUGUGGGCUCUAGCUCCACUAUUAGAGGUUUGUGGGCUCUAGCUCCACUAUUAGAGGUUUGUGGGCUCUAGUUCCACCAUACAUGACAACAACAGCAGGUCUCUCUGUCCUGUAGCCCGAGGACAACAGCAGUAGGUCUGUCUGUCCUGUAGCCCGAGGACAACAGCAGUAGGUCUGUCUGUCCUGUAGCCCGAGGACAACAGCAGUAGGUCUGUCUGUCCUGUAGCCCGAGGACAACAGCAGUAGGUCUGUCUGUCCUGUAGCCCGAGGACAACAGCAGUAGGUCUGUCUGUCCUGUAGCCCGAGGACAACAGCAGUAGGUCUGUCUGUCCUGUAGCCCGAGGACAACAGCAGUAGGUCUGUCUGUCCUGUAGCCCGAGGACAACAGCAGUAGGUCUGUCUGUCCUGUAGCCCGAGGACAACAGCAGUAGGUCUGUCUGUCCUGUAGCCCGAGGACAACAGCAGUAGGUCUGUCUGUCCUGUAGCCCGAGGACAACAGCAGUAGGUCUGUCUGUCCUGUAGCCCGAGGACAACAGCAGUAGGUCUGUCUGUCCUGUAGCCCGAGGACAACAGCAGUAGGUCUGUCUGUCCUGUAGCCCGAGGACAACAGCAGUAGGUCUGUCUGUCCUGUAGCCCGAGGACAACAGCAGUAGGUCUGUCUGUCCUGUAGCCCGAGGACAACAGCAGUAGGUCUGUCUGUCCUGUAGCCCGAGGACAACAGCAGUAGGUCUCUCUGUCCUGUAGCCCGAGGACAACAUCAGUAGGUCUGUCUGUUCUGUAGCCUGAGGACAACAGCAGUAGGUCUGGCAGCUAGCCCCAAAUCUUCCUGGGAUAGCUUAGCAUACUAUACUCUGCAAAACAUUAGCGGAGCAGUGAUGUAGUUAGCAUGUAGCCUGCUCUUUUAAAUCGAGAUGUAUUUGUAGGUGUUUGUAGGUGUAUUUGUAGAUGUAUUUGUAGAUGUAUUUGUAGAUGUAUUUGUAGAUGUAUUUGUAGGUGUAUUUGUAGAUGUAUUUGUAGGUGUAUUUGUAGAUGUAUUUGUAGGUGUUUGUAGAUGUAUUUGUAGGUGUUUGUAGAUGUAUUUGUAGGUGUGUUUGUAGAUGUGUUUGUAGAUGUAUUUGUAGAUGUAUUUGUAGAUGUAUUUGUAGAUGUAUUUGUAGAUGUAUUUGUAGGUGUUUGUAGAUGUAUUUGUAGAUGUGUUUGUAGAUGUGUUUGUAGAUGUGUUUGUAGAUGUAUUUGUAGGUGUUUGUAGAUGUAUUUGUAGAUGUGUUUGUAGAUGUAUUUGUAGGUGUUUGUAGAUGUAUUUGUAGAUGUGUUUGUAGAUGUGUUUGUAGAUGUAUUUGUAGGUGUAUUUGUAGGUGUUUGUAGAUGUAUUUGUAGGUGUUUGUAGAUGUAUUUGUAGAUGUGUUUGUAGAUGUAUUUGUAGAUGUGUUUGUAGAUGUAUUUGUAGAUGUGUUUGUAGAUGUAUUUGUAGAUGUGUUUGUAGAUGUAUUUGUAGGUGUUUGUAGAUGUAUUUGUAGAUGUGUUUGCAGAUGUGUUUGUAGAUGUAUUUGUAGGUGUUUGUAGAUGUAUUUGUAGAUGUGUUUGUAGAUGUAUUUGUAGGUGUAUUUGUAGGUAUCCUGCAUCGUCACAUUUUGAAAAGGGAGAUUUGAUUUCAAGGUAUCAUUAAUAUGAUUUUGAUAGGCUCAGCAUUAUGAAUUGCACCUGAAAAUGCAAGCGCUUUUAUAUGAGUAAACACAUGUCAUACUGUACAUUGUGUAAUAACUUUCCCUCAAAAUACUCUUGAUUUUCAUAUGGGUAAUCAGCACCUCUCCUUCCCACUGAAAUGUUGAAAUGCAACAUCACACCCUGGGAUACUACAGAUGUAUUAGUCAGUGAUUCCCAGAUAGACAGUUGAAGUGGGAAGUUUACAUACACUUAGGUUGUAGUCAUUAAAACUCUUUUUUUUUUUUCAACCACUCCACAUUUACAUUUAAGUCAUUUAGCAGACGCUCUUAUCCAGAGCGACUUACAAAUUGGUGCAUACACCUUAUGACAUCCAGUG